UUCUUUGUAAUCCUAUUUAUUUUAUGUUCUUAAAAAAGUUAUUUUUUUUUAUUUCAUUAAGACUUUAUUGCAGUGGAAAAUGGAGCAGCCCCUCAACUGGAGCCAUCCUUGUCAUGGCCUAGGAGGUGGGGGAGGGAGAGAUGCCAGUGAAGAUGUGUCUCUGGGGGAUACUCUGAUCCCUGAGGUUCAAGGCAGAGAGAAAAUGGUCUCUACCCAGGAGAUAUGGAUCAGCUCAGGAAGCUCUAUGGAACUAUUAAAUGCCACUUUUAAUCAUGGAAUGCUUCUACUAGCCAGCAACAGUAUCAACAAUCAGGAAGUACCAGAUGCCUUAACCACUUUAAGGAUCUCUGAUUCUACCAGUGUCAGUACUCUGUACACCAGUGAAGAUCACAACUCUCUCAUGCCUUAGGAAAUGGUCGUCAAGAAUCCUGUAGCUAAAAGAAGAACAAAAGCGGAUAGCCAACCCCAUGCCAACUUUUUGCUACACUAAGCUAGACUGGCCCCCAGGCUUUAGAGUCUUGUGAAAGGGCCUGUUCUCAGUCUUUCCACCUUAAUAGGACAGACCAAAGUAUUUCCUCAGCUGGAAGAGAACAAACAUUACCUACAAGGUGAUAUCAUGUCAUGUUGGUGAGGAAAUAUAUGAAGACUCCAUAUGGUGAGACAUUAAAAUGUCAGUUUUGUCUUUUGUUUUUGUAUCCCCAGCUCCUAGCAUAUUGCCUGGGAUAUAGCAAUUGGUUAAUAAAUGGUUUUGCUGAUUUAAUGUAUUAUUAU
rnacentral:lncRNA from 1 species